UAUAAUGCGUUGAAGAAAAGGAGUACUUGAUUUUUCUCCAUAUAAGCGAACCUGGGAUGGUGUGAGCCGGGCUAUGGAUUUUCAAGGAAGGCGUUUCUGAGCAUAUUAGCUGCAUUUGCAGAUAAAAGAGGCCGUGUAUCUACGCGGCAAUUAGGGUGGAACCGCGGGUAAACUCUCGUCCCUAUG
rnacentral:ncRNA from 1 species